GGUCAUGUCAAUUCUUCACAACUUAGAGAUGGAGAACACUGAGGUCCAUGAGAACAACCAUAAGCUGAAGAAGGAGAUUACCUUCUCUAGAAACCUGCUCAGCCUGAUGGAGAACACAUGUAGGAAGAAGUUGGUCCCACUGAAGCAGGAGAGCAAGGAGGUACAUCUUGAUUGUGCACUGAACCAGAAAUAUUUGGUUGACUUCAACAAGGAAGAUAAAGACCAUCAAUGGCCAGAACCAGCAUUAUCAGGUCUCAGAAAGUGCAAGAGAGCUGGAAUUGGACACACCCCAGUAAGAGAGCUUCCUGAAGAAUAAGUUGCUUUCUUAGGAGUCCCUGAUGACCAACAUCCUGAAUGAAAACAGCACUUGAGAGACAGCUUGGGGGACCGCCUUUCAUUAUGUGUGCUAGAGGAGAAACAGCAAUACAUCUGUG
ensembl:lncRNA